GAUGAACGCUGGCGGCGUGCUUAACACAUGCAAGUCGAGCGAAGCGCUUCGACGGAUUUCUUCGGAUUGAAGUCUUAGUGACUGAGCGGCGGACGGGUGAGUAACGCGUGGGUAACCUGCCUCAUACAGGGGGAUAACAGUUGGAAACGACUGCUAAUACCGCAUAAGCGCACAGUACCGCAUGGUACGGUGUGAAAAACUCCGGUGGUAUGAGAUGGACCCGCGUCUGAUUAGGUAGUUGGUGGGGUAACGGCCUACCAAGCCGACGAUCAGUAGCCGACCUGAGAGGGUGACCGGCCACAUUGGGACUGAGACACGGCCCAAACUCCUACGGGAGGCAGCAGUGGGGAAUAUUGCACAAUGGGGGAAACCCUGAUGCAGCGACGCCGCGUGAGCGAUGAAGUAUUUCGGUAUGUAAAGCUCUAUCAGCAGGGAAGAAAAUGACGGUACCUGACUAAGAAGCCCCGGCUAACUACGUGCCAGCAGCCGCGGUAAUACGUAGGGGGCAAGCGUUAUCCGGAUUUACUGGGUGUAAAGGGAGCGUAGACGGCAUGGCAAGCCAGAUGUGAAAGCCCGGGGCUCAACCCCGGGACUGCAUUUGGAACUGUCAGGCUAGAGUGUCGGAGAGGAAAGCGGAAUUCCUAGUGUAGCGGUGAAAUGCGUAGAUAUUAGGAGGAACACCAGUGGCGAAGGCGGCUUUCUGGACGAUGACUGACGUUGAGGCUCGAAAGCGUGGGGAGCAAACAGG
rnacentral:rRNA from 1 species